CUGUCACCUCAUAUCAUUUUAAUGAAAUUCUUUUGGAGAGAAAAAGAGAGAGAGAGAGAGGUCAGAGGUCUUAGUAAGGUGAUUGUGAAAUCUUGCCGCUGCAGUUCAUCACCCACGGAGAUGAAAAGGUUAGACGUCCGUGUACGUGGAUACCCCAGGCCCCCAGAUCUGACGGCUAAAGUAAAAGUGAAACAAGAUUGUGACAAAGGGGUGCUUUGUCUCAUCAAAACCCUCGUUCCUUUCCUGGGUAGAUGCAAGGUGUUGUUACCAGCUCCUUCCCAACCUCAAAAGGCGCUAAAUGCUCUGCUCUCUAGCAUUGCCCCCCGGACACUACCAGAAUCACAUACCAUUUACUCACAACUGCUAUUAAGAUGGUCGUACAAACGGCUUGUAAGUAGAUCAAAACAGCAUGCGCGUCUGCUUACUCCGUCGUGAUGCUCAUUUGACAGUUUGGAAGAUCUAACAUGAGGUUAAUUCAAGCUGCACUUUAAUAUCUAGACUCUAGAUUAGAGCUGUAAUAACAUCUGAUCUGUUCUUGUGAUUCUGGCUAUAAUGCGAUGGGUCGAAAACAGUUUAUCUAGAGCUUCUAAUAUAACCCAGACAAGAACACUAUUGCUUUGAGUCUGCACUCUCGUCGACUUUAGGCCGGGUGUUCAUGAGAAUCUGGGAUGGAAAUAAAGAGUGACGGAAUCAGUAACUCAUGGGAUGCUUUCGAAAGGAACAGCAUGAAGUACAUCGCAGAACAGAAAGGAUGGGGAUGAUCUGACCUUCCUGAGCAUCAUGUUUUCAUUCAUCAAAGUCGAGAUCUUCUCCUCCAGCUUCACGUUGUUGUCUUGCAACUCGCGGGCUUUCGAUUCCAGUUCAUUGACAUACACCUUCUUCCUCUCGCGUGCUUGCUGAGCAGAGACUCUGUUCCUCAGUAACCUGGUAUGAUUAAAAAAAAAGUCUUUUAAGGCAACAAGCUUUUUCCUUAGGCUUAAAUUCGACAUGUACUGGCCCAGCUCUUGGCAACCAUAGUGAAAUCGACUAGGAGAACGGCGCCAAAGAAACAUAAACCACCACGAAAGCAUCGUUGCAUACAUGAUACUUAGUGACUAGGGUGGAUACCUCAUACUCAAAAGCUAGCAAUUCACGCUAUCAAUCUUCCAAAGCCCCAAUACCUCAAUUAUCUCCUAUGAACCAUUUGUGUCAAUGGACUCAUUUGAUCAAAACUUGAGACGAUGUGUGUAAUCCCAAAAAAUAUUCAUAAGUGAUUGUUAAUGGAGUUGAAGUUACCAAAUUGUGAGGAGACAGUAUCAAUUUAUGCCUAAGAUAGUUCCUCCAACCACAUUUUCUAGAUGAACUAGAGCCAAUCGGAAUUAAUCUUGUAAGAGAUCCGCUACAGAAUGGAUAUGUUUCAAAUGAUUCAUAUCGUCAAGUGUAUGAAUUCCAAACAAUUUCAACAAAAUCUUGCAAUUUCUUAUUUUACAUGUUCAAUUCAAAUACUCUAUGUAUUCCUCCGUUCCUAGAGUAUAUUAAAUGUACAGAAAUGGCUAUAACAUAUGCAUAGCGGUUGUCCAAGGAGCAACUACAAAUAAGAAAAUCUUACCCUGGCAAGUCACAUAUUGUACAUUUACUUUAGCAGGUUUUUUUUUUUCAUUUUAAAAGGCUUUAUUGACUCAUUUCAUUUCGUGGCUCAAAAGUUUAAAUUAAAUGAUGGGUUUUAUUAUUCAAAUCUUGUUGUUUGCUAUUUUAUACAAAAGAAUCGUGCCUAAUUCACUAAUUUGUGAGAUGAUACUAUGAUUGAUAGAGUGAUCACUGAUCCUAAUCUCCGGAAUGAAUACUAUGUUGUGAAAUUACAUUUGAUGAUGAGAUAGGACCUGCAGAUUUACUUGUGAUAUGCUUCUCUAUUAGCUCACUGCCAAUCAGAAUUAGUCUAUUAACUGGGAUUAUUUUCUUCGACCGGGCCUCCGCAAUGCUAUGAAAACAAGAUGAGGAACUUUGACAAUGAAAAUGUCACCACUUUGACAAGAAGCAAGAUUAAGUUGAUACACUGUAAUCGUGUUUAAAUCCAUGGCUAAACAUUCUUUUGCCAGAAAUGAAUCAGCGCAAGUAGCUAGCAAAGUUAUAACUCUGUACAGUGUGUCGACUCAAUUGAUGCAUCGAAGUAAGCAACUAAGGUUGCUUUGCCACUAGAUUUUACUAAGGAAUGACUCAGAGCAGAUCACUGAACUAAGCAAAACCAGCAGAAUCUAUGAUCCGCACAGAGCAAAAAGGGACAUACCUCUUGAGCCUCUUAUACUCCUUGUCAACAGGGUUCCGUCCCCUCCGUCGCUUCCCGGGAAUUGCCGUCUGAGCCUGAUCAGCUUCUUGUUGCUCACUGACAUGGACAUUACUGUUCCCUGUAGAAUUCACAGCUGGUCGAGCCUCCAUGUCCGGAACCGUGAACAAGUCCUCGUCGUUUUCCUCUGAACCCAGCAGAAUCAUCAAAAAAAGAAACGGAAUUUUCCAGCACAAAAAUGAAAUUCUAGCAUCGAUUAUAUGCACACUACCAUUGCCGAUUAGGCAUAUAUAUAUUGGUCAAGCGACAAUACAUGUUAGAUUUCAAAUGCAUAUUGCUUGCACUACUCUCUCUAAUACCCAAAAUUACCGAAGCCAAUUAGUUGUGCAAUGUCCAACAUGGCAUCAAAACCAGUAGAGUUCAUGUCAACUCCUUCGAUUCACCCAAUAUUCCGAUCUCAUUGUUUAACUAGUUUUAGAAAUCGACACACAGGGCCAUCAAGAUGAUCCGUGGAUACCAACCGUACUCUAAUCUAGAACACUCCUCUUCUCAUAGACCUGCUGCUACUGCAAUUACAUGGGCGGUCCAUUCUCUUCCAUGCAUAUACACAAACCUGUGCUCCGAUUAUGAGUCAGUGAGAGAUUAUUCAGGUGCUCGGAAAGAGCUGAACACCCAUAUUAUCCAAACAGCACUAAUACAAAACAAGAAACCCGAAAAAUCCCAUCACCAAAAGGGUCCUAAUCCAAUAGCCAAGAAACGGCAACAAGAGGAGGAAAAAAAGACGGAAGACAAGGAAAAUGCAAUGACAGAAGUAAUAAUCACAGACCUCUCUUGUUCUUCUUCUUGAGGGCGCAAGAAGGAGAGGUGAGAUCAUUCCCAUCUUGCCUGGUCCGCCAAGAAGAAGAGGAAGACGAUCCUGUUGGCUCCAUUCCCACCUGGACCGAAGCUACGUCGACUUUGCCGCCGUCUCCAUGCCUUUGCGCAGACAUUUUCCGCGAGCUCCGCCUCAGUGUUUGUCAAUGAUGCGACGGUAAUGGCAUUCCAAAAUCCACAGUCUAUUCAUCUUUUUUUUUUUGAGCAUUUAUUUCUUACUGUGGAAGAAGUCACUGUUCGUGUUUUGUGGAACAUGGGAGGGAGGGAGAGUUUGGCUCAAGAACGAACACGUUGAUGCAUGGAGAGCCGCCACUUUCGCUUCAGCUACUGCUCGUCACUUCCCUUUCACAUUAAUCCAGAAUCCAAAGUCCGUCCACUGUUUAUAUUUGCUUUUCAUUUUCUUGCUUGGAACUUACACGUGCAUAUAAAUAGCUCGUAAAAUCCAAAUGAUAACUCUAUUUUAGAUAUAAUAUUUUUUACUAAUUUAAGCUUGAUAUUUGCUAAGUUUUGAUAAUUUUUGAGUGAAUUUAUUUGUUACCCAUGUAGUUUUAUGAAUAUUGUAGGAAACACGACUUUCGGGACCAUAUGCAUCAUUUGCAAAAGAUGAGGGGAAUCAUGUGAAAUUUUCCAAUAUGUUUGUGCAGAGCAGUCCUUACGCCUCAAUAUUUUCCAGAAUAUCUGAAUAUUUCUAAGGAUAUUUUAAUAUAUUUAAGGACAUCUCAAUAUCUUCUAGAAUAUCUCAUCUUAAAGAAAAAACCAGCUAAGACAAAAAAAAUUUGGUGGAUUUGACCAUAAUUGAGGCUAGAUUCAAAGAAAAUCAACAAUAUGAAUCUUAAGAAGAUAAACUCCUAAUUUGCCAAAAGUCCUAUUCAAAACUUAAUGGGAGGCUGACCUCAAGUAGAUUUUUGGAGGCCUAUAUAAACACAUUUUCUACUGCAUAUUUCGAUUUUUGGGAGGAGCUAGGAGUCGCUAUCAGACUUUAGGUUUUCUUAAUUAGUUUUUAUGUUUCUAUUUUAUUAGUGGGAUUGGUGCAUGUCGAGGAGAGAAGAAGGAGGCAAAUCUGAACGUAUUUGUGACUCAAAUUGGUGAACUUGUUUUAAUUUAGCAUUAUGCUUUUUAUUUUAUUUUAUUUUCGUUGUUAGUUUAGCUUUAAUUAUGUUUAAAAGUUAUUUUUUUAGAGCCACAAUGGAUCUUAACCAUGAUUGAUUGGUUUUCAAAACUUAUUCAUUCAAUAUAAUUGUUUUGAUUGUAGCAUUCUCUAUCAUGAUCUUAAUGCUUUUAGAAGUUUGGCCAACUUUUACAUGAUUUUUUUAUGUAUGCUUGAUACUAGGUGGAGACUUUGUGCAUGAGCACUAGUGAUAUAGAACCAUAAAUUAAAUCUAGGUCAAGGUACACUAGAUUGUUUGUGUGGUUGCGAUAGCAGAUCUAAGUUAGAACUACUUAGAUUAAAUCCGGGAAUUUCUAUAAGAGCUUAAUGCUUUUAGAUAGUUUAAAUUCACUUGAGGUUAGUAUGGGUCGACAUAUCUAAUUGGGGAUUAUUAGAUUGAGGUCAGCUUAUAAUCUGACUUAGGGAAAUUUUAUCAACACAAUUGGGAGUUAAUUUGUUGCAUGAGAAGCUAAGAGAAUUAAUUAUGAGUGAUUAAGUGAAGUUGGAUGCUCUAACGCUUUGUGAUCUUGGUUAAAAUCUUAAAAUUUUCCUUGUUAAUUUUCGGUUUACUUUAGAUUAGGUUUAUUUUGCAAUUUCAAUUAGCUUUUGAAUUCUUUAGGUUCGGCUAUUUUAUAUAUAGCCCUUUAAUUGGUUUAGUUCACUUUUUACUUUCCUUUUCAACUAGGUUAGUUAAUCUUUGGAUCAAUCACCUUCGGUAAGUAAUUGGAUAAUUAGAAACAAUCUUGGUGAGAAUGAUAUUCACUUAUUAUUUUAUUAUUUGAAGAUAUUGGACACUUACAAUUCAACUAACACAAAAUAAGUAGAAAAUAACAGUUGAGUGAUGUCCGGGUCAAUUUUCACAUCAACCCACUCCAUCGUUAAUCAAUGAAAAGACCUCUUGCUUAUGAUAUUUGUUUUGACUUUUGGGCUUGUGCUAGGGAGAACUCCAAUGUUUUAAUGAUGUUUCUUCAUAAAUUAUUUGGAGCAUAGGCCAUCCCAAAAAUGUUGCAAUGUAAUAAAGCAAAUAAUAAUGGUGGAGGCAUGAACAAUUAUUCACAUAAAAAAUUUAGAAUGGUUCCGUUUGUUCACAAAAAAUAAAUGUUUUUCAAAAUAUUUUUCUAAAAAUAAUCUCUUCUAUCAAUUAAAAAAAUGAAUGUACACGAAAUAUUUUAUUGACUAAUUAUUUCAGACAAUACAUAUAGUCAUUUUAAGGAAAAUAUCUUUUAAAUUAUUAAUUUUUGGUGAAACAUACGUGAUUCAACACAAUCUUACAUUAAAAAGUCUAAAUUGUCCCUUCUUACAAACCCAAUUUAGCAUAUUGUUUAGGGUUUGGCUACUUGGUUUUUAGUUGCUUUUUAGUGUUUUUGAUAAGUAGGAGAAUUUAAGAUUUCGGGAUUGAGACUUUUGAGAAAGAAAUUGCAUUUAAAUAGGGACAUAUAGAUAUUUCAAGUCAACCUAGCAAGAGUUUCGACAGGGGCUUUUGAUGGUAUUUUAGUAACUUGAUACUUAGUUUGGACACAAUUCUUAUUUUAGUAUGUCGGUGCCUGAAUGCCUUGCCCCCCUCAAUUUUCGACGGAUGCUUUUCUUCCUGACUGAAUACAAGAGAUGACAUUAAGGAGUCCCAUCCGUUAGGGAUUCUUCCCUUUAUUCUUUUCCAUUAAACUUUUUAAUGAUUUGAUGAGAUUCAUGCAUUUAAAUAAGGACAUAAAGAUAUUUAAAGUGAAUAUCCAGAGUGGACUCUCAAGGUAAUGCAUGUUUUUGGUGUUUCUCCGGUUUAGAACUUUUUAACCGUUUUUGUUAUUCUUUGUUGCGGUCGUGAUUUUUACUGCAAAAAGAGAAGACAUGAAGGUAGAAAUAAGUUUCGGGCUUUGGCUCGGAUUGGCCCUAGAGUAGCCCGUCCCCAUUCGAUCCUAGCCGAAGUGCACCAAUUGAUGAAGUGGUCAACCCGUGCCAAUUCAGAAACCCGUACGGGAUCCUAUACUCUAUCUGCCUUCCGUUUCAUUACUUUAUAAUCUCCAAUCACGCUCGAUAAACUCAUGAACAUGCUCUCAUCAUACGAUUUUGCAAAAGAGACAUUUUCGCUCUCACGAAGGUCGGUCUGUCUCAAACCCUCCGGACAAUACAGCCUCAGCGCCGUCUUUGUUUAAGACAAAAUCAAGGAAACCUAGUACCGAGGUUUUCUAUUCAGCCCGCGUGCGUGCAAAUUUUGCCUUCAUUCGAUAGGACCGUUGCGUUCCUGCAGCUGCCGCUUGGAGUGAUCUCCCUCGCGCGCGGGUCUCUCUCUCUCUUUCUUUUUUUGUUUCUUUCCCACCAUCGAGGAAGAGAAGAGAACGAAGCAGAGAAGAAAAAUUCGUUGAAUUCUUACAUAUUCGAUGCCAAUGAAACCCCUGCCUUCUUCUUCCUCGCGAGUCCCCGUCAAGUUCAGGAUGUGAGUUAUAGUGCUCUUUUCUUUCUUGUUCUCUCAGUACGAAUCUUGGGUAUCUUUCAAUUAGUGCUCUUUCGGACGUGGGGAGGCUGAAUCGGUCCUGGAAAUUGAAACCCUUCAUUUUUUUUUUCUGGGUUUGCCCGCGAAAGCCCGACGGCUGAUAAUUUGGUGCCGAUCCGGCUGGACAUUGAAAUCGACGGCCAGCGGUAUAGAGAUGCGUUCACUUGGAACCCUUCAGGUACUUUUCUUUUGAUUUUCAAUCUUGGUUUUGUUCUGAGAUUUCGAAAUCUUGAAGUUGGUUUCCUUUCUGAAUUGGGUCAUAAAUCGAGCGACUUGAAGAGGGUUGAAGGUGGUUGAAGCUCGAUAAAGGGUGUCUUGGAUUUGUGCAGGUUAUGUUUGUUGUGUCGAAGAUACGACUAAAGGUGACUGGAAGAAAAUAAGUAAAUGUAUCUCCGUAGGCUGGAAAUGAGUACAGUCACUCAACUGGAAAAACAUGAGAAUUCUUGAGAAUCAUAUCACUGGCUUUUCCGAAUUGGCUUUAACAGAAUUAGCCUUCUUGCAGUUAUGUUGAACCUCAAAUUGUAUCCCCAUGAAGGGAAUGCUGAAGUUGAAAAAACAACCUAAUCAUUCGAAUCCUUGUUGUGGCAUCUAUAAAUUAUAUGCCCUCUGCUUGAAUCAUAACGACUUACUUCAAUUUUGCCCCUCUCCCCCCAUAGUAUACGUGUAAGAACUACAGAUUAUUCAACAAUUUUGAUCUAUAGUGCUUGUGCAUAUUGGUAUGUCAAAUUUGACAUCCUUUUCCAUUUACCACUUUAAGUGGCUUUUGGAAACUGACCUUUAAUCGACUGUAGUGUGCGACCCUUGCAGCUAAUUCUACAUUGGUGUGAAGUGAACUGAUAAAUUUUGUGGACAAGUAGUUGUAUUUCUCUCAUGUGCUUUUUCCAUUUUAUAUUUUUGAUGGUGUAGAUCCUGAUUCAGAGGUGGUAGUGUUUGCGAAGAGAACGGUGAAAGACUUGAAGCUUCCUCCAGCAUUCGUAACUCAAAUUGCUCAGUCCAUUCAAGUAAGCAAACUAUGGCAGUAUUGCCUUUCAUUUGGUUAUAUUGAGACACUUGUCCAAGAUUUAACAUAAAUAUUUGUCGAUUGGCAUUGUUAACCAGUCUCAGUUGGCCGACUUUCGCUCAUAUGAGGGCCAGGACAUGUUCGCUGGAGAGAAAAUUGUGCCAAUUAAGGUUCUUCCCAUUCACUUAUAUUUAAGCGGCGAUCUAUCUGUUUGGAUGAUAAGAUGCUAUUCAAGCAUGACAGUUCCUUUCUUAUUUUUCUUUUCAGCUUGAUAUGCGAGUGAAUCAGACUCUUGUAAGAGACCAGUUUUUGUGGGUAAGGUUAAGAAUCUGCCUAUAGCAUUGUACGGCUGAUGUGGUACUUGCCUUGCUGUCUUAGAGGUUCUGUCUUCAUUAAUUCGUUUGUCUUUGAGUCUCACACUUUUUGUAGUGAUUUUGAUCUUGAUGGAUUUCAGGAUUUGAACAAUUUUGAAAGUGAUCCUGAGGAGUUUGCUAGAACAUUCUGUAGAGAUAUGGAUAUUCAAGACCCAGAAGUCGGGGUAAGAGAAAUUAGUCUACAAUGGCAGCUCGAUCAAUUAAAGAUGAAUGUGCCAGAUAUAAAUGUGCAUAUGAUAAUGUAGGGCCACAAUAAGGAAGAUAAAUGAAACAAAGAGAGAGAGACGUGGAGUAAUUGUCUGAAGUAUUUACAUCUAAUUGACUGCAAGUUGAUAUAGUUUAGGCCUGAUCCAAAUAUGCUUUCAAUGAGAUGGAAUUUUAGAUUAUUUCGAUAUUCCUGAUUACCCAAAAUGGAAAAAACCAUGUACAAAAGGAGAUCUCUUUGCUGCCAAAAACUUUUGGCUUGACAAAACAUGAUUUUCUAUUCUAAAACUCUCUCUCUCUCUCUCUCUCUCACACACACAUGCAUGCGCGUGUGUGCGCACAAAUAUAUUCAUUAGUUGCAUUUUCAUCAUGGCAAUAUACCAAGUGCUGUUUGUUUCUUUUUGUGCAGCCAGCAAUUGCCUUUGCAAUUAGGGAACAACUGUAUGAGGUAAUCUUUAUGUGCCUUGAUGAUCUGUUACAUGUCUUUUCCCUGCUUUCUUGGUUUGUGUUGAAUGUGAAGAAUUGUUUUAAUGCAUAAACACGAUAUCUAAUGUGUCAGAUUGCUAUCCACAAUGUCACUUCAGCCAGAGAAAGCAGAGUAAGCAAGAAGGGUCGCCGGGGUUUUGAAUAUGUUCCAGCCAGGUUGAUCACUCACAUCCUGUUUUCCCUGUGUUGUCAUCCCAAAAUUGCUUCCGAGUGCAAUAUUGAUGCAGUGUUUCUUGCUCAUUCUCUCUCUCUCUCUCUCUCCCCCCUGAGACAGUAAAGCAGGUGGUAUCUCAUUGGACUUGGUUAAAUAUUUCGGACACAAAACGAGUGUGGUCCGGUAAGUCUUUUAUCCUCAACGUAGUUCAUGUAAGGAGCCUUUUCUGUUCCAAUCCACGUUUAUGUCAUGUUGAAAUGUGUGCCACAGUUUUGUAUGUCCAGUUAGUAUCCAAAAUUCCCCUCAUUUGACUGAGAUCUGACUGCACUGUAUUAACUCGUUGGUGUCACAAAGAUUAGAGUAUAUGUUCUUUUCCCAAAUCCUUUUAAUUGGCACUGGAAUUUUCACUAACUGCCCCUUUAUUACUUGUUUAGAUAGACUGUACUUCUUUAAAAUGUCAAUAUCUUUAAUCAAUGUUGCUCUAAUCACUACUUAGGUUUGUGGGACUGACUGAUUCGAUUUCUUAGAUAUCCUUGCAAGCUGCCUUUGAGCAAGAUUUUCACCAUUCUCUUCUAGAGACCUGCCGGAAAUAAAUAAAUGCCUAACAAAGAGAAAAGUCACCUGUCCUCUGUUCCUUCUGCUUUAAUGGAGCAAAAUUGAUAAGAUUAGAUAGCAACCAUAAUGAGGUCUUUUCUAAACACGUCACUGUCAUUUCCUUGUAUCCAACUCAAUCCUUCAAAGCUCUUGAUCAGACCUUGCACUGUCACCUGAUUUUGAAGCUAUCAAGAAGGAGCUCUUCCAUUUUUAUCUGAGAUUAGGAAUGGUAAGCAAACGGUCUUCUGAGUCUUGGAAACUAACCAAAGUGCAUUUUAUGAUAUUGGCAUGAAGCAAUGACUAAAAAGCUCUGCUUUAAUGGGUCUACUGCUGGCAAUUAUCUCUAUGGUGUCAAGAACUCGUCCCCUCUUACUCGACAACUGGUUCAAUUGUGGUUGCUGAAUCAUUAUUGUCUAUGUUUCCAGUUGAUGAUUGGAAAUUCUCAUAAUUUUGGCAAGGAAGGUACUUAUGGUGUUUGGUCCCUUUAUGCUUCAGGAAAAGGAAAGAUUGGGAUGCAUUCGAGCCCAUUGUUGAUAUACUCUCGAGCGAGGAAGUAGAUGCACUUGAAGCGAGGGAAGGGAAGACAACUCGGUGAUGCAUUAGUGACAUUGUGCGUUAAUUAUCAAAACGAAUGCUAGAUGAUACAUUCUAGAGGCUACCUGUUUAUUCUCGAGAAGAGAUUUUCUGUUCAAUUCAUUGUGCAUAGCUUACAAAGUCCAUUAUGUUGGCUAAGCUCAAAACUGGACGAAGAUCAAAUCACUGAAUGAAGAUCCUCUUAGAUGAGCCAUUUCAUUGGCUUUGGACUUUCGAUCAUCUGUUCUUGCAAUUUUGGGCAGAGAGCCAAAUCUACUUUCACAUUUUUCAUGCACUGUUCUGUUCUCUUUUGCUUUGCUUCGAAAUCUUAAGUGCGCCUUUGGCUCUGUGUUCAACAUCCAUGUCCAGUUUAUAUGUGUCUGUCUUUGGUUUUAUCCGCCAUGGUGCUAAUCCCGGCCAUGGCUAAGUUGGUAAUUGGCUUUGUGCAUAUUAGGCAGGCCGAAGGUGCAUAUUCCGAAGAUUAGUUCGGUUACUCAUUUCGAGGGGAACGUGUGAGACAGAAAACAUACUGUAUAUGUAUUUAUUAAUAUAUAUGCGUGUGUAUGUAUGUGCACACAUGUGUACGUGAUUAAUAUAUUUUCUUUGGUUCAACUAUCAAAAUACUUUCUAAAAAUGAAAGGAGAGCAACUCCACGCUUUCUGGUGAGGAGUUGUCUCUGUCUGGUCCGGCACUCAUCUUAUCAUCACAAUUCCUCACCAUACGAGCUGAUCGUGUGGGGCUACGCAAUUCAAUCUUUGCAUAUGCAUGUUUCAUGCACGGAAGAUAAGGACUUCCAUAAAUCAUUUAAGGUGGACUUGGGACCAUGAGCAAUUAUGGCCCAAAAAAGACAAAAAACCAUGAUACAAAAGAGAAGAAAAGGAAAAAGCAAAGAGAGCAUUCAUCCGUGCAUCAAAGACAUAAAUUUCUCCAUUAAAAUCUCGCCAUGAUCUUCACACUAAUCAUGGGGAUUCUUUCCCUAAUCACCUAACAUGACUCCAACAACAACAAAACCAUCCAGAAGAAAAGAAGAAUCAUCAGCGAAAUCAGGCACUAGAAGCCUAGAAGGAGGCGCAUCUCUCUCCCUCCCUCCCUCCCUCUCUCUGUUUUUCAGUUUUUUGUCCUUGUUUCUCCUUCAUUUGGGUUCAUCUUGCCACCCUUUCAGGAACACACCCACAAGGCGAAUACAAAGCACAGCAUGUACAUGUGGAUUUGCAAGAUUAACUCGAAAACACUACUACAUACACAAAAUUCACAUAAGGGCGAUUUGGUGGGUUGGGGCAUUGGAGAGAGGGAGAGAGGCUAAUCAAGAAGUCAUGUUGCAAUGUGUAGCCUUGGACUUGUCCAAGAUCGACCACAUCACUUGAACAUCCUCGUACGCGCACGCCAUCACCUCACCCUGCAGAUCCACCACGCUCUUCUCCUGCCCUGCAAGUGAGAGAGCACAGAAGCAUCGUCAAGCCAAUGAAGCGAACCCUCCUGAUAAAGCUUCAUUAGGUGACCCUAAAAUUCAAGAUGAGUAUCUUUUGAUAAACUAAAUUUAACCGACGGGGAACACAGAUUUCGAGAGAGAGAGAGAGAGAGAGAGAGAGAGAGAGAAAGGUUCUUGUUUACCUUCUUGGGACUUCUUCUCUUUUGGCUGUUGGUUGAAGAAAGUGCAGGCUUUCUUAAAUGGGGUGGUGAUGGUUUUCUUCCAAGAAGCCAUUUUUCUGAGGACUUCCUUGUGUUUCUACAGGAACAAUAUAUACACAAUAAUGUGUGAGAGAGAGAGAGAGGAGAGAGAGCGAGGGGCAAGAUCCGUGAGAUGAGCUUAGAGGAACAUCACUCCUUUUUUUAUAAGGUUAAGAAGCGCGACCAGUGAGUGUGCACAUGGUGGGAAGCUACUCAGAGAGAGAGAGAGAGAGAGAGAGAGAG
rnacentral:lncRNA from 1 species